rnacentral:rRNA from 1 species
GGUCCCGAGCGUUAUCCGGAUUUUUGGGGCGUAAACCCAGCGCAGGCGGUUAUAUAGGUCUGAAGUUAAGGGCUGUGGCUUAACCAUAGUACGCUUUGGAAACUGUUUAACUUGAGUGCAGAAGGGGAGAGUGGAAUUCCAUGUGUAGCGGUGAAAUGCGUACAUAUAUGGAGGAACACCGGUGGCGAAAGCGGCUCUCUGGUCUGUAACUGACGCUGAGGCUCGAAAGCGUGGGGAGCAAACAGGAUUAUAUACCCUGGUAGUCCACGCCGUAAACGAUGACUGCUAGGUGUUGGGUCCUUUCCGGGACUUAGUGCCGCACCUAACGCAUUAAGCACUCCGCCUGGGGAGUACGACCGCAAGGUUGAAACUCAAA